rnacentral:misc_RNA from 1 species
GAAAUGCGAUAAGUAAUGUGAAUUGCAGAAUUCCGUGAAUCAUCGAAUCUUUGAACGCACAUUGCGCUCCUUGGUAUUCCUUGGAGCAUGCCUGUUUGAGUAUCAUGAAAUCUUCAAAGUAAAUCUUUUGUUAACUCAAUUGGUUUCUACUUUGGUAUUGGAGGUCUUUGCAGCUUCACACCUGCUCCUCUUUGUUCAUUAGCUGGAUCUCAGUGUUAUGCUUGGUUCCACUCGGCGUGAUAAGUUAUCUAUCGCUGAGGACACUGUAAAAGGUGGCCAAGGUAAAUGCAGAUGAACCGCUUCUAAUAGUCCAUUGACUUGGACAAUACUUUUAUGAUCUGAUCUCAAAUCAGGUAGGACUACCCGCUGAACUUAAGC